ACCAUGAGGCCAUGCCCCACAGCAGUUCCUCACAAGGGGUGGCAUCCAGUCGGCACUCGCAGGCACAGCAGCCACACACAGCACAACAGCACAGCUACACUCGCGACCACGGUCACAUCACCACACCUCCUACUCCGAGAGGCGGCUACCCCGACAGCCGGGCGAGAGAAUUUUGAGACCUAAGCCGAAACAAGUACACUUCCAGGGAUUCUGGGAGCUAUGACGAUGGCAAACAUACACGU